AACAAGUUGUCUUCUGACUUCUGUGUCUACACUGCACCACAUAUACCUACAGAAUAAAUGAAUGGGUAAGCAAUAAAGAGGGGAGAAAGAAAGAAAGAAAGAAAGAAAGGGGAAAAAAAGAAAACCAGGAAACUAGAUGGCCUAUGGCCUGGACCUUGCUUAUUGUCAGUCCUCCCUAGGGCCCAGCCUCAUCUCUUCCUACAUUCUCAAGCUGUAGUUUCUCCAGUCCUCUUCAGACUAGUGCUCACCUGUGGCAUUUCCUCUGCUGUGGAAGCUUCCACUUUCCUUUUCUUUUGCCCACGCAUCCUAUACUCCUCAGCUGUACCUAGAACCCUUUGUUGCACCCCUUCCUCAAACUGGAUACGAUGCUGCCUUCAAUGUUCAUCCCAUCUUUUCUUGACCUGGAAUGCUUCGUACUAGACUUGACUUGGCUGUUUCUGUGACUUUCAUUGCACCAGCAUCAGAGCCAGGAGGAUAGGAACCCCUUAGUUGCUGCUGUGUAGGCCAGCCUGAUUGACCUGAGAGCAUCUGGGGAUUCUCUGCCUCCUGUUUCCCUGUAGGAUUUCUGGGAUUACAGAUGUACACCAUCACGACUGGCUUUAUGUGAGUCCAAGGAAUUUGAACUCAGUUCCUCAUGCUUAGGUUGCACACUUUACCCUCUGGAUAGUGUACUUAGCUCAUUUUAACUAUUCUUGUUUGUUUGUUUUGAGACAGGAUAUAUCUCUCUGUGUUGUCCUAGAACUCACUAUGUAUACAAGGCUGGUCUAAAACUGAGAGAUUCACCUGUUUCUGCUUCCCUAGUGUUGGGACUAAAAGUGUACACCUCCAUACUCAGCAUGUUUUAGCCAUUCUGAUAGAUAGAAAAUAGUAACUCACAAUGAUUUUGAUUUGCAUUUCCCUAAUGACUAAUGAUGCUGAAUAUCUCUUAUGUGUUUACUUGCCAUCUGUGAAAUCCUCUUUCAUGACUCAGGCAUCUAUUUUUGUUGUUAUAAGUAUUUCUUUUUUUCUGCAAUCUCUAAGGAUUCAAAGGCAAUGGUAAUCAGCUUGUAGAUAAAGGAGUUAAAGAACUCA
rnacentral:lncRNA from 1 species